GGAAUUUAUCAAUGGUUGGUUCAGUACAGUAUCUGCUGCUAUGUUAUUUGCAGCAAGAGAAGAUAUAUGUUCAUGCCAUUUUCUUAACUGUGUCACCCGUUUCAGCUAGUGUACAAACAAACAAAUUAUUGGCAUGCAUGAGUAGUGCACGGACGCAUGUUAGUGUAUCUUAACAGAGAUGGACAAAGUCGUUUUGCGUAAUUAUGCCUGAACAUGCAUGGUAAUAACAAAAUCCUCACCGAUUAUAGAGAGAGCAAGUAGAUACUCUCAUCACUGAGAAAAAGCUUGUUUAGUUGAGAGUGUUCCAUGGGAACCCUCAGUCAGUGUAGCAACACAAACAUGUACAUAAUCAAUUUCUCUGCACCAGCUGAGCUAGUGUCUUACUGACUUCCAAGUCAUAAACAAUGUCAAUAAUGUUGAUAAGUGCCAGCUGCAAAUAAUCUGCAAACACCACAACAGGCUUUCCCUUGUAGCAAUGUCCUUUUAUAUCCAUAUAAUCCUUACCUAAUCAAAUUGUCGUAUCCCCAUAUGCUAGAGGACGAGUUUAGUCAGGCCAGCAACAAUGCGGAGCUACAUAAAUUAAGUAACCUGAUCUGAACUGUGAGCACAUGAUGAUUGUGUGGGUGCAAAUAAAUGGAAGUCGAAAUGCUUUUGGUUGUGACUUACUAUUCCUUAGCCUAUAUGCAUGUCUUAGUUAAACUUGAAAAUCAUUGUUUUCUCCCAUGAUGUUAUGUGAUUCAGUAUUAAAUUAGUAGACUCGAAUAUUUCUUAUUUUGAUCAGUCUUGUGGAAAAUAUGACCUUCAUUGAAUACUCUACUCUUUAUAUGUCGCUCAAGGGUUCCCCGUCGUACCUUUUGGUCUUGUUUUUGUUCAAUCUGCUUUUAUAUGUUAGUCUAGUUAUUAGAUUGAUUUUAGAAUGUUCAUCCAACUUUUGUUGAUCUAAGAAGCAUCUUGCAUGCUAUAGAAGUCAUAUUAGCUAAACUUGGCUUGUAGUUGCCUCUAUGAAAGUGGUUGUAUUUUGAUUUUUAUCUAUUGGUUUGCUGCAGUGGAAUGCUCAUCACCUCAUAGGGAAGAUUUGAACCAAGUGAAUGCAAGGAUUUUUUUGGCAAUGUCUAGCUCAAUCUCACCUUCGAGAAAAUGUAAUAUUUUUCCUCCGGAGUUAGUCUACACUAUCCAGGUUGUAGGCUACUACUGAGAUCCCAUCAAGGUAACACUCUUCCCCCACAUAUUAAUCUGCAAGAAAAGUAUAAACAAGAUUCAAGUGAGCGGUCUUCAUGGGGUUGCUUGUUCGUAUGAUUUGUUCAUGUGCUUCAUUUUGUAAUUCCAGUCAAGUAAAGGCUAAAGAAACAUGCUACCCUCAAACUGAAGUUUUGCAACCAUGUUAAUAUUUAAUGCAAAUUGCCAAGACUCUUCUGGGAGGAUUAUGUUUAUCUCUGUAACUAGUUGUUAGCAUUUUCCUAUUCAACAAUAAAGGUCGACAUCACUACAGGAAAUGGUUCUGAGUGUUACUCCUUCGAUUCAAACUCAUGAAUUAAGUUAAAGUCUACAUAUGAGGUUGUGUUUCAGCCAUGCAUACUUUGUGUGCAUGUGUUGUUUGUGUUGAGUUUGGUUUGGUGGUAUAUGAGCUGUGUUGUAUUGUGGUGCUCAUGUCGGUGCUGUUUAUUUUACUGUGUUAAAGAUAUAUGAUUCACAUCUCUUCAUGUUGGAAGUUAUUAAUGUGAGUUUUUUUUGCACAAAGUGUUGAGCUAACACAAGAAUAAUCUUGCAAUUCCUGAAAUUUCUAUGGGAACAUGUCUUAGUCUUGUGUUAAUUUGAGGUUGUGUUUCGUCCGAUCUUUGUAGAACUAUGUUGUUGUGCGCCUGUGCACUUGUUGAGUCUUUUUGCUAUGCACUUGCACUUGUAGCAUUAUUUUGCUGUGCACUUGUGCACUUGUUGGACCUUGGACCUUGCUGUGUAGAGCAGUUAAUGGAUGAUGUAUUGUAUUUCAUGUGAUGUGUUACUGAAAUGAAAUAUACAAUUUAUCUGCAAUAUUGUAUUCUGUUGUAAUUG
rnacentral:lncRNA from 1 species